UAUGUGAUCGUCUCUCGCAUAUCAAUAAGCGGAGGAAAAGAAACUAACAAGGAUUCCCCUAGUAACGGCGAGUGAAGCGGGAAGAGCUCAAAUUUGAAAUCUUAAAGGGUUUCCCUUUACGAAUUGUAGUUUAAAGAAGUGUUUUCUGUUGAGGUUUUGGUAAAAGUUCUUUGGAAUAGGACAUCAUAGAGGGUGAGAAUCCCGUAUUUGACCUUUACUUUCAACUUUGUGAUACACUUUCAAAGAGUCGGAUUGUUUGGGAAUGCAGUCCAAAAUGGGUGGUAAAUUUCAUCUAAAGCUAAAUAUUGGCGAGAGACCGAUAGCGAACAAGUACCGUGAGGGAAAGAUGAAAAGAACUUUGAAAAGAGAGUUAAACAGUACGUGAAAUUGUCAAAAGGGAAGCGUUUGACACCAGUGUUGUUUUUCUGAAAAUCAAUUAAAGAACUGUUUAUACUAAGCUGUUUAGACUUUAUCAGCUAUCUGUUUAGUUUUGAGCUUUUCUUUAAUGCACUUUUCAGUUAACAAGUCAACAUCAAUUUCUUUUGCUGUAAAAAAGCUUGAGGAAGGUGGCUUGAGAUUCGUCUUAAGUGUUUAUAGCCUCUUGCCUAUGCAGUCGGAGAGAUUGAGGUCUGCAGCGUAGAUCCUUCGGGGCUAAAUGCAUUUGUGCUAAGUUAUAGCAUUUUAUAGACAACUUGUUGACUAUGAUUUGUCUUGUAGCUUACUCGCUUAUGUUAUUUUACCUACGCUUAGGAUGUUGAGUCAUCACACAUCUCU
rnacentral:rRNA from 1 species